CUGACAUUCUGCAUUUGAAUAGUUAAAGGAACAGCAAUACUCUAUUGGGAGCCAACUGAACACAUUGAUAAACCAAUGAGAAGAGGCAACUCAUGUGCAGCCACCAAUCAGCAGCUAGCUCCCAGCUCCUGAACCUACCCAGGCAUGCUUUUCAACAAAGGAUACUAAGAAAACCAGAAUAACCUUGAACUGGAUGGCCUUAUACCUCGAGGAGAGCAGCCAACUUAUACAAUAUUA